rnacentral:rRNA from 1 species
UACGAGGGGGGGCGAGCGUUGUUCGGAAUUAUUGGGCGUAAAGGGUGCGUAGGCGGUUUGGUAAGUCUUAUGUGAAAUCUACAGGCUCAACUUGUAGUCUGCAUGAGAAACUGCCGGGCUUGAGUAUGGGAGAGGUGAGUGGAAUUCCUGGUGUAGCGGUGAAAUGCGUAGAUAUCAGGAGGAACACCUGUGGCGAAAGCGGCUCACUGGACCAUAACUGACGCUGAUGCACGAAAGCUAGGGGAGCAAACAGG